AGUCUUUCCUGAAUAGCAGAGCAGUCCUGUCGCUUUAAACAGAGCAAGGCAGCUUUCACUGCUUUUGAAUCCCGACCGAGCGGGGCACUGCCGUGCUUUGUUUUCUUUGCCUUUAAGAGUGCAAUAGUCCACUAAUCAAAUUCUUUCAUCAAAAGAGUGUUGGGACAAAUCCCUGACAUCGUCCUUCCACUGUGAUUUGGAGAUGACCUCCACCCAGGUUUCACUUCCGUUGUACCCAGCUCUCGUCUUAUUUUUGUCCCUCAUUUUGUGAAUUUAUCCUCUCACUACGCUUGAUAACUAACCUUGGCGCAAACCCACAACUGUGGUGACGCAAAUCAGGUUGGAACUUGGCAUCGUUGUGUGCGGGCAGUGAGGGACUUACUGUAAAAACUGGGGCCUUCAUAAAGGCGUUCUUAUUUGCAAU
rnacentral:lncRNA from 1 species